GCUGGCCAAGAAUGCUGAACUAAAGGCCAAGCGUACUCAAUAUCUUCGAGCCGUAGCUGAGAAAGAGUCUCUGCGCUUGGAGAUCAACAAGGCUAAGGACGAGUUAAAAGAAAUCUCUUCCGAAGUCAUGAUUGAAGACUCCUUGAUGGUUAACUUGGCUGCUCAGAUGAGGGAACUUCAAGCCAAAAUGGACGAUUGCAGGGCGAGGAUGGCCGCUAAAAAGCGCAACGCCUCUCAGGGAAUUGAGCGAACUAAAUCCUUGGUCGAACAAUACAAGAAGCUGGAGGUUGAUGAUGAUGACGUUGCGGCUGAAUUGAACAUCACUACCUCCCGACAGAA
rnacentral:lncRNA from 1 species